ensembl:lncRNA
UCUGACUCAAUUGGCUCAUUUGCAUUACCGUCACCCCCAAAAGCCUCUUUAUAAUUCAGUAAAAUCUUGUUUCUCACACGACUGCUAAUGCAGUCUGGAGCAUUGACCUUAUUUAAGAACAUGGAAAACGGGUGUGAGGAUCAACAAUGAGUCAGGGGUGCUGGGACCUGCAUGUCCUGUGGGGGGUGGGAGAAGUGCUCCAUUGACAUAGGCCUACAUUACAUGUUGUGUAAGAGUCGUAAAAAAAACAUCAAUCUCAACACUAAACCACUGAGAACGAUAGCCAAGGGAGGAAUAAAAAUGUAUGCAAAUUAAUUACGUACAGUAGCCUAUUUCGUUAUGUUUAGAAGAAACCGCCUUGUCUAAGAGGUCUCAGUGAGAUCUCUCUUGAUUGUGUGUUGCCAAAUUACAUCGCCUCAACACAAUCAAUUAUAAAUGUAUUAUCAAUGAUCUUGUCCUUGGCAGAUCACUGUGACAGGAGCCGCCCACCGGGUCCAAAUCUACCCUCUUCUAAGUCAGCUCAUCCGUUUCCAGAUGUCCACUAUUGGUGCGGUCUGCCCAACGCAUCACCGGGGGCACACUGCCUGCCCUCCAGGACACCUACAGAACCUGAUGUCACAGGAAGGCCAGAAAGUUCAUCUAGGAUAUCAACCGCCCGAGCCACGGCCUGUCCACCCCGCUACCAUCCAGAAGUCGAGGUCAGCAGAGGUGCAUCAAAGCUGGGACAGAGAGACUGAAGAACAGCUUCUAUCUCAAGACCAUCAGACUGUUAAAUAGCCAUCGUUCGCCGGCUACAACCCGUUUACUCAACCCUGCAUCUUAGAGGCUGCUGCCCCAUAUACAUAGACAUGGAAUCACUAAUCACUUUAAUGUUUACAUACUGCUUUACUCAUUUCAUAUGUAUAUACUGUAUUCUAUUCUACUGUAUUUUAGUCAAUGCUACUUCGACAUUGCUUAUCCUAAUAUUUAUAUAUUUUCUUUAUUCAAUUAUUUUACUUUAGAUUUGUGUUUUGUUGUGAAUUGUAAGAUACUACUGCACUGUUAGAGCUAGGAACACAAGCAUUUCACUACACCCGCAAUAACAUCUGCAGAAUGUGUAUGUGACCAAUAACAUUUGUUUGAUUUGAAAUGUUGAAAAAUAAGACAAGAUUUAACAAGAGCCAGUAAAUCACUCUGAUGAAAGAAUAUAAAACAUGCUCUUUGUUGUUUGAUUUACUCCCACUGUUUGGUUCAAGGAGAUACACAACCAAACACACACGCUAGAAAUGAAGCCUUGUCCUCUAUAAACUAUACACAUGUAUAUUAAUCUUACAUGCAGAUCUCAUGCCCUGCUUUCCCACCCAUCAGAUGAUAAAAGAUCAAUUCUCUCCUACAUCUCUCACGUAAUCCUAUUUCACUGUAAUGACC